GAUAUUAUGGAUAAAUCAUUCUGCUGGCAGCAAAAGGCAGCUCCGGGCCUUCACAAAAGAAGCAAUGUUUGUUGGUCACUCUGAUUGCAGCAAGCAGCACCCUGCGCCAAGCUUUACUUAUCAGCAGCAGCGGCAGAUGUAGCCUCUGGACCACAGCCAGUCACUCUUCUCUCUCCUGCAGAACACGCAAUGGCUUAAGAUGACAGCUGAAAGCCCUAUCAAUACUGGUUCACUGACCUCCAUGGAGCAGCACUGAGCAGUGGCACAAACACAGCACUCUGAGCACCUGAUCCAGCUGUGGGUGUCCUCAUUCAGCGCAGGGGAAUUGGACCAGAAGGUUUUUAAAUGUCCCUUCCAACUGAAACCACCCUACGAUUCAUCGGACAUCCGAACGCGAUCCAGCUGGGAUCACUGUCCCAUGCACGGCCCGUGGGCCCCUUCCAGCAGCGAGGCAGUGACCAUAGUGCUCCGAUAAUGCUGCAGGGUGCGGGCUGCUCAGCACUGAUAAGUGUAUCACACAGGUGGCCAGAGCCUGCUGCAGUUCUCACCUAAAGAGCAGACACAGAGCCACACACCCACGGGUCCUGAAGAGAUCUGAAGGCUUCAGAAGCUCUUCGGUUUUUACUAAGACUCAUAGAACGAAGUCGAAUAUGUGCAACCCCAAAUGGCACGCAGAUAUUCCCAUCGUGUGUCAGCCAGCACAGCACUGAACAGAGCCGGCCAGGACAGCUGCAUGCACAGCUGGGGGGCAGUGAGCAGCCCCUCUCACGUACUGCUUGGUUAUUACUUCUCUUCCUGCAGUCUGCUUUGCCUGGCAGACCCACACAAAGGAUAAAAUCCAAGCUACAUCUGGGUUUAUUAUUAGCAACGCAUUUGCCUCAUCUGUGAUGGGAGUCUCAUUUUCAGCUCGGUGAAGCUGAACUCUCAAUAAAAAAGAUAAUGAUGUUUUU